rnacentral:rRNA from 1 species
CCUACGGGUGGCAGCAGUGGGGAAUAUUGGGCAAUGGACGCAAGUCUGACCCAGCAACGCCGCGUGAAGGAAGAAGGCUUUCGGGUUGUAAACUUCUUUUAAGGGGGAAGAGCAGAAGACGGUACCCCGGGAAUAAGCCACGGCUAACUCCGUGCCAGCAGCCGCGGUAAUACGUAGGUGGCAAGCGUUGUCCGGAUUUACUGGGUGUAAAGGGCGUGCAGCCGGGAAGACAAGUCAGAUGUGAAAUCCCGCGGCUCAACCGCGGAACUGCAUUUGAAACUUUUUUUCUUGAGUAUCGGAGAGGUAAUCGGAAUUCCUAGUGUAGCGGUGAACUUCGUAGAUAUUAGGAAGAACUCCCGUUGCGACGGCGGCUUACUGGACGACAACUGACGGUGAGGCGCGACAGCGUGGGGAGCAAACAGGAUUAGAUACCCCAGUAGUC